GAUCCCACUUUACUUUACCUUUUUUUUCUUCCUUAGUUCCAAAUUUAACAUUACUUUUUCUCCUUGUUCUUGUUUUAUUCAUGUGCGGCGGUGAUUCCACUUUAAUUUGUUUUUCCUUGUUCAGAUUAGUUGUUUUUUGAAAUUAAAUAUCCCUGUACCAUAUGAUGAAGUGAAUAACUCAAUUCAAGACUUGAUGAUUACUUUGAAUCCUUGGGUGGAUUGUCGACUUGCAUAUGGAUAAUUAAAUCUCUCAUUCUCAAUUUCCGAAAUGGUCAAGUAGAGAACCAUGGUCACAAAGAAACAAGCGCUUGAUUUCUUAGAAUUGGAUAUGUUCUUCAUUCCGAUUCUGUGCAACUCAGGAGUUUUUGCUUUACCGUGAAAAUUGUUUGCAUUAGAAUGAGGGCCUCAAACUUCAAUUCCGGAACCCCAUUUCCAAGCAACGAAGCAUGGCCAGGGGCUCAGCGUAAGGAAUGUGGCUGCCUGGCUCUUCAAAUUUAAAGAACAGAAGCGCGAAUGUGGCCACUUUUCAGAACCUUGACGGGCUUCAGUUUUUGUUUUUAUAAAACGAGGGUGAUUUGACAUCGGCAAAUGAGCAUGCGUAGAAGAGUUUCUGCAUACACACAAACUCAUGAAACUUUAUGUGACAGAGUUAUUUAGAUUAAUUUAUUUCCCUAAAACUACAUCAGUACUCAUAACAUAUUCUAACUUCUUUCAAUAUUUUCCUUUCCAGAAGAGAGCAUAUACCAGUUUCUAGAGACCUUCAACAGCAUGGCUUUCCAAGUAAGAGAUUGCAACGGCAGCAUGAAGAGCUGCACCAAUGGGUAGAGCCUCUUCAUCCAUAACAAAGAGUGGUGAGUGCAAAGGCUUAUCUGACUUUAGUGUUUCAUUCUUUGUCCCUAUGAAGAAAAAUGCGGCAGGCAUCUUCUGUGCAUAGAAGCUGAAAUCUUCGGCUCCCAUGGUAGCUGGAAGGAGGUGCACAUUGGGUUGCCCAAGUAAGAUUUCUGCAAUACUCUUUGCAUGUUCAUACAUUGCUUCAUCAUUAACAGUAGCUGGAUAAGGCGUCAGUUUCUCCUCCAUGAAGUCUAUUGUUGCAGUACACCGAUGCACUGCAGCUUGCAUCUCUAUGACCUAUUAAAAACACACAUUAAAAAACUCCCAAGUAAAACAAUAACUUCUAACAAACAAUAGAAUGAUUCCAGCAGCCUUUUUGGAAAAUUAUUAAAGAUCUGCUCCAGAGUCUUAAUUUGCAAAUUUACAGGUGAUUUGUCUUUUUUCCUCCCUCAAAUCCAACUUCUCUGUAUUGCCGAACUUAACACCUGAAGGGCAGCCUCAGUUGUUCUUCUUUUCAAUGUUCAGUUUGGUUUUCUUGAAUUUAUGUAACUUCCCAAAUUUCUUUCCAAAAUUGAACAAACAAACAUGAAAUGAAUGAUUUUUCCAUCCGAGUUUUCCAGAUAUUUCUAGUUUUAUCUCAUCAAACUGCAUAGUAUUAUCCAAGUCAUAAAACAAGUUUAAUUCCAGCUCAAUCAGAAAAAGGAAUUAGCAAGUCUUUCUUUUUUGAAUUUGUUAGCAGACACACCCUUAAAUACCUGUCUGACCCUUUGCUGAAUGUAGAGCAGACCCUCGGUUGUCAAGCUUCGCAGUGUGCCUCCAAAUCUCACAGUCUCUGGAAUUACAUUUGCAGCUUGGCCAGCCUCUAUGAACCCAACAGUGAUCACCUAUGAUAAACAAAGCUUCUGAUGUUAAUAGAACUCAAAUUCAUCAACUGAUGUUCAUAAACACAAAAAGUUGUAGUAAGGAAGGAACUUGCUUGAUGGGCAUCCUAAAAUUAAAAGGUGUAACAAUUUCAGAAGAAAUACCCUGGCUUCAAGAGGAUCCGUCUCACGAGAAACAAUCUGUUGAAGUGCAAGGAUGGCCAAGGACGCUGCAAGAACCGGGUCUCUGCCAACAUGGGGACUGGCAGCAUGUCCACCUUUUCCUUUAAUUACCGCUGAAAACCUUGCAGCACCGGCUAGUAGUGGACCAGGUUUUGAACCGACAGUACCAGUGGGCAUUCCUGGUGAAACAUGUAAUCCAAAGAUGGCCUGGAAAUCAUCGAGAGCGCCCUCUUUUAACACAUGAUAGGCACCAGCAUGACCCUCUUCACCGGGCUGGAAGACAAGCUUAACAGUGCCCUGUGAAAUAGAUUUUUCAAAAAAGUCUCAUUUAGCAGAAAGGAACAAGAAAAGAGCCAUUAGAAAAGUAAUCAUGUAUUUGAUUUUUGAAUUUCACUUUUUAAUAAGUACCUUCAAUUCA